rnacentral:lncRNA from 1 species
CAGCUGCCCAGUGGGGGCACAGCCCCCACCCUGGCCCUGCUAACUGAAAAGGAACUGCUCCUCUACUUGUCUCUCCCCGAGACCCGCGAGGCCCUGAGCCGGCCAGCCCGUACUGCCCCACUCAUCGCCACCAGACUGGUGCACUCAGGCCCCUCCAAGGGCUCAGUGCCCUACGAUGCAGAGCUCUCUUUUGCCCUGCGCACGGGCACGCGUCACGGUGUGGACACUCACCUGUUCAGCGUGGAGUCACCGCAGGAGCUGGCUGCCUGGACCCGCCAGCUUGUGGAU